rnacentral:hammerhead_ribozyme from 1 species
GUACUGCUGAAGACUCUCAAACUAGGACGAAACAGCUGUCCAGUAC